ACGCAAGUCGUCCAGCAAGGGAGGGCACGCUCAUUGCCCCCACCUCUCCUAAAGCGCUUGCCAGAGAAAACCCCGGGGUGGUUUGAGGCCGCGUUCGGCUCCUCCCGGACGCGGUUAUAGAAUCCUCGCACAGAA